rnacentral:misc_RNA from 1 species
GAAAUGCGAUAAGUAAUGUGAAUUGCAGAAUUCAGUGAAUCAUCGAAUCUUUGAACGCACCUUGCGCUCCUUGGUAUUCCUUGGAGCAUGCCAGUUUGAGUAUCAUGAAAUCUUCAAAGUAAAUCUUUUGUUAACUCAAUUGGCUUCUACUUUGGUAUUGGAGGUCUUUGCAGCUUCACACCUGCUCCUCUUUGUUCAUUAGCUGGAUCUCAGUGUUAUGCUUGGUUCCACUCGGCGUGAUAAGUUAUCUAUCGCUGAGGACACUGUAAAAGGUGGCCAAGGUAAAUGCAGAUGAACCGCUUCUAAUAGUCCAUUGACUUGGACAAUACUUUUAUGAUCUGAUCUCAAAUCAGGUAGGACUACCCGCUGAACUUAAGC